GAUGAACGCUGGAGGCGUGCCUAAUACAUGCAAGUCGAGCGAACAGAUGAGGAGCUUGCUCCUCUGACGUUAGCGGCGGACGGGUGAGUAACACGUGGAUAACCUACCUAUAAGACUGGGAUAACUUCGGGAAACCGGAGCUAAUACCGGAUAAUAUAUUGAACCGCAUGGUUCAAUAGUGAAAGACGGUUUUGCUGUCACUUAUAGAUGGAUCCGCGCCGCAUUAGCUAGUUGGUAAGGUAACGGCUUACCAAGGCAACGAUGCGUAGCCGACCUGAGAGGGUGAUCGGCCACACUGGAACUGAGACACGGUCCAGACUCCUACGGGAGGCAGCAGUAGGGAAUCUUCCGCAAAGGGCGAAAGCCUGGCGGAGCAACGCCGCGUGAGUGAUGAAGGUCUUCGGAUCGUAAAACUCUGUUAUUAGGGAAGAACAAAUGUGUAAGUAACUAUGCACGUCUUGACGGUACCUAAUCAGAAAGCCACGGCUAACUACGUG
rnacentral:rRNA from 1 species